rnacentral:rRNA from 1 species
UGGGGAAUAUUGCACAAUGGGCGCAAGCCUGAUGCAGCCAUGCCGCGUGUGUGAAGAAGGCCUUCGGGUUGUAAAGCACUUUCAGCGAGGAGGAAGGUGGUGAGCUUAAUACGCUCAUCAAUUGACGUUACUCGCAGAAGAAGCACCGGCUAACUCCGUGCCAGCAGCCGCGGUAAUACGGAGGGUGCAAGCGUUAAUCGGAAUUACUGGGCGUAAAGCGCACGCAGGCGGUUUGUUAAGUCAGAUGUGAAAUCCCCGGGCUCAACCUGGGAACUGCAUUUGAAACUGGCAAGCUAGAGUCUCGUAGAGGGGGGUAGAAUUCCAGGUGUAGCGGUGAAAUGCGUAGAGAUCUGGAGGAAUACCGGUGGCGAAGGCGGCCCCCCUGGACGAAGACUGACGCUCAGGUGCGAAAGCGUGGGGAGCAAAACAGGAUUAGAUACCCUGGUAGUCCAGCGCUGUAAAACGAUGUCGAUUUGGAGGUUGUGCCCUUGAGGCGUGGCUUCCGGAGCUAACGCGUUAAAUCGACCGCCUGGGGGAGUACGGCCGCAAGGUUAAAAACUUAAAUG